rnacentral:tRNA from 1 species
AGGUGUAUAGCUGAGUAGUAGAGUGCAUGCUUAGCAUGCAUGAGGUCCUGGGUUCAAUCCCCAGUACCUCCC